rnacentral:rRNA from 1 species
CAUGCAAGUCGCACGAGAACGCUUCAGCUUGCUGGAGCUAGUAAAGUGGCGCACGGGUGAGUAACGCGUGGGUAAUCUACCUCCGAAUUGGGGAUAACACUGCGAAAGCGGUGCUAAUACCGAAUGACAUCCCCGAGACCUUGGUUUCGGGGAUCAAAGGUGGCCUCUACAUGUAAGCUACCGUUUGGAGAUGAGCCCGCGUACCAUUAGCUAGUUGGUAGGGUAAUGGCCUACCAAGGCUGCGAUGGUUAGCUGGUCUGAGAGGAUGAUCAGCCACACUGGAACUGACACACGGUCCAGACUCCUACGGGAGGCAGCAGUGAGGAAUUUUGCGCAAUGGGGGAAACCCUGACGCAGCAACGCCGCGUGAGUGAUGAAGGCUUUCGGGUCGUAAAGCUCUGUCAAGUGGGAAGAACAUGCCCUGUGAUAAUACCAUGGGGCACUGACGGUACCACUGAAGGAAGCACCGGCUAACUCCGUGCCAGCAGCCGCGGUAAUACGGGGGGUGCAAGCGUUAUUCGGAAUCAUUGGGCGUAAAGGGCGCGUAGGCGGCCCCUUAAGUCAGAUGUGAAAGCCCUCAGCUUAACUGAGGAAGUGCAUUUGAAACUAAGGGGCUUGAGUAUGGGAGAGGGAAGCGGAAUUCCUGGUGUAGCGGUGAAAUGCGUAGAUAUCAGGAGGAACACCGGUGGCGAAGGCGGCUUCCUGGACCAAUACUGACGCUGAGGCGCGAAGGCGUGGGGAGCAAACAGGAUUAGAUACCCUGGUAGUC